UACGUAGGUGGCAAGCGUUGUCCGGAUUUAUUGGGCGUAAAGGGAGCGCAGGCGGUGACUUAAGUCUGAUGUGAAAGCCCACGGCUCAACCGUGGAAGGUCAUUGGAAACUGGGUCACUUGAAUAUAGAAGAGGAAAGUGGAAUUCCAUGUGUAGCGGUGAAAUGCGUAGAUAUAUGGAGGAACACCAGUGGCGAAGGCGACUUUCUGGUCUAUUAUUGACGCUGAGUCUCGAAAGCAUGGGUAGCAACAGGAUUAGAUA
rnacentral:rRNA from 1 species